AUUUUUUUCUUCUUCUUAU
rnacentral:sRNA from 1 species